rnacentral:rRNA from 1 species
GGUGCAGGUGGCUUUGUAAGUCAGAUGUGAAAGCCUGAGGCUUAACCUCAGAAGUGCAUUUGAUACUGCGAAGCUUGAGUGCUGGAGAGGCUACUAGAAUUCCAGGUGUAGUGGUGAAAUACGUAGAUAUCUGGAGGAAUACCGGAGGCGAAGGCGGGUAGCUGGCCAGACACUGACACUCAGACCCGAAAGCGUGGGGAUCAAACAG